rnacentral:rRNA from 1 species
GACUCCUACGGGAGGCAGCAGUGGAGAAUCUUGCACAAUGGGCGGAAGCCUGAUGCAGCCACGCCGCGUGCGGGAUGACGGCCUUCGGGUUGUAAACCUCUUUCAGCUCCGGCGAAGCUGCUCCUUUUUGGGGGUGGUGACGGUAGGGGCAGAAGAAGGACCGGCCAACUACGUGCCAGCAGCCGCGGUAAUACGUAGGGUCCGAGCGUUGUCCGGAAUUAUUGGGCGUAAAGGGCUCGUAGGCGGUUUGUCGCGUCGGGAGUGAAAACACCGGGCUUAACUCGGUGCUUGCUUCCGAUACGGGCAGACUGGAGGUAUGCAGGGGAGAACGGAAUUCCUGGUGUAGCGGUGAAAUGCGCAGAUAUCAGGAGGAACACCGGUGGCGAAGGCGGUUCUCUGGGCAUUACCUGACGCUGAGGAGCGAAAGUGUGGGGAGCGAACAGGAUUAGAUACCCUGGUAGUCCACACCGUAAACGUUGGGCGCUAGGUGUGGGAUCCAUUCCACGGGUUCCGUGCCGUAGCUAACGCAUUAAGCGCCCCGCCUGGGGAGUACGGCCGCAAGGCUAAAACUCAAAUGAAUUGACGGGG